UGUUCUGUAGCUUAAUUGGUUAAAUCGCCGGACGAACGAUCCGGAGUUGAGGGUUCGAUUCCCACUAAAACAA
rnacentral:tRNA from 1 species